rnacentral:rRNA from 1 species
UGGGGAAUUUUGGACAAUGGGCGAAAGCCUGAUCCAGCAAUGCCGCGUGUGUGAAGAAGGCCUUCGGGUUGUAAAGCACUUUUGUCCGGAAAGAAAUCCUUGGCUCUAAUACAGUCGGGGGAUGACGGUACCGGAAGAAUAAGCACCGGCUAACUACGUGCCAGCAGCCGCGGUAAUACGUAGGGUGCAAGCGUUAAUCGGAAUUACUGGGCGUAAAGCGUGCGCAGGCGGUUUGCUAAGACCGAUGUGAAAUCCCCGGGCUCAACCUGGGAACUGCAUUGGUGACUGGCAGGCUAGAGUAUGGCAGAGGGGGGUUAGAAUUCCACGUGUAGCAGUGAAAUGCGUAGAGAUGUGGAGGAAUACCGAUGGCGAAGGCAGCCCCCUGGGCCAAUACUGACGCUCAUGCACGAAAGCGUGGGGGAGCAAACAGGAUUAGAUACCCCUGGUAGUCCACGCCCUAAAACGAUGUCAACUAGUUGUUGGGGAUUCAUUUCCUUAGUAACGUAGCUAACGCGUGAAGUUGACCGCCU